rnacentral:rRNA from 1 species
AUGAACGCUGGCGGCGUGCCUCAUCCAUGCAAGUCGCGCGAACGGACGAGAAGCUUGCUUCUCUGAUGUUAGCGGCGGACGGGUGAGUAACACGUGGAUAACCUACCUAUAAGACUGGGAUAACUUCGGGAAACCGGAGCUAAUACCGGAUAAUAUUUUGAACCGCAUGGUUCAAAAGUGAAAGACGGUCUUGCUGUCACUUAUAGAUGGAUCCGCGCUGCAUUAGCUAGUUGGUAAGGUAACGGCUUACCAAGGCAACGAUGCAUAGCCGACCUGAGAGGGUGAUCGUCCACACUGGAACUGAGACACGGUCCAGACUCCUACGGGAGGCAGCAGUAGGGAAUCUUCCGCAAUGGGCGAAAGCCUGACGGAGCAACGCCGCGUGAGUGAUGAAGGUCUUCGGAUCGUAAAACUCUGUUAUUAGGGAAGAACAUAUGUGUAAGUAACUGUGCACAUCUUGACGGUACCUAAUCAGAAAGCCACGGCUAACUACGUG